rnacentral:rRNA from 1 species
CAAUAAGCGGAGGAAAAGAAACUAACAAGGAUUCCCCUAGUAACUGCGAGUGAAGCGGGAAAAGCUCAAAUUUAAAAUCUGGUGGUCAHHYGGCCAUCCGAGUUGUAAUCUAGAGAAGUGUUACCCGUGUCGGACCGUGUACAAGUCUCCUGGAAUGGAGCGUCAUAGAGGGUGAGAAUCCCGUCUUUGACACGGACCCCCGAUGCUUUGUGGUGCGCUCUCAACGAGUCGAGUUGUUUGGGAAUGCAGCUCAAAAUGGGUGGUAAAUUCCAUCUAAAGCUAAAUAUUGGCGAGAGACCGAUAGCGAACAAGUACCGUGAGGGAAAGAUGAAAAGAACUUUGGAAAGAGAGUUAAACAGUACGUGAAAUUGCUGAAAGGGAAACGCUUGAAGUCAGUCGCGUUGGCCGGAAAUCAGCCUUCCUUUUGGUUGGUGUACUUUCUGGUUGACGGGCCAGCAUCAGUUUUGAUCGGUGGAAAAAGUUGUAGGGAAUGUGGCAUCUUCGGGUGUGUUAUAGCCUUGCUUCGUAUACAUCGGUUGGGACUGAGGAACUCAGCACGCCGCAAGGCCGGGGUUCGCCCACGUUCGUGCUUAGGAUGCUGGCAUAAUGGCUUUAAUCGACCCGUCUUGAAACACGGACCAAGGAGUCUAACAUGCCUGCGAGUGUUUGGGUGGAAAACCCGAGCGCGUAAUGAAAGUGAAAGUCGAGAUCCUUGUCAUGGGGAGCAUCGACGCCCGGACCAGACGUUUUCUGACGGUUCUGCGGUAGAGCAUGUAUGUUGGGACCCGAAAGAUGGUGAACUAUGCCUGAAUAGGGUGAAGCCAGAGGAAACUACUGGUGGAGGCUWCGUAGCGAUUUCUGACGUGCAAAUCGAUUCGUCAAAUUUGGGUAUAAGGGGCGAAAGACUAAUCGAACCAUCUAGUAGCUGGUUCUGC